AACAGGCCCCACAUCCUGUGUGGGGUUUUGAAGGGUUUAACUGCACUUGCUUUGGGUUUUCUGGUUCACCCCUUUCCUUUGUCGACAUUUGGGAUCAGCGAGUUCAUCCCAAGGCUCCCUUUUCUCCCAUCNNNNNNNNNNCCCAUCCUUUAUGAACAUUUGGGAUCAGCGAGUUCAUCCUGAGGCUCCCUUUUCUCCAAUCCUUUAUGAACAUUUGGGAUCAGUGAAUUCAUCCUGAGGCUCCCUUUUCCCCCCAUCCUUUAUGAACAUUUGGGAUCAGCGAGUUCAUCCUGAGGCUCCCUUUCCCCCCAUCCUUUAUGAACAUUUGGGAUCAGCGAGUUCAUCCCAAGGCUCCCUUUUCNNNNNNNNNNGGCAGGGCGGGGUGGCCGUGCCAGGCAGCCCCUGGAGCGCCAUUCCCAGCGGGAAUGCCGGGGAAUAGGGGGGAGGAGAGCCUGGAGGCGCCGGGAGGGGAUGAAUUGGGUGGGCAGCGGGUUUGGGGUGCCGGGAGGUGACAGACGGACAAACGGACAUGCCGGGAGGUGACAGCGGCCCCGGCGUGGCAGCAAAGCCCGCCCCGUGGUGGGAUGGGCCGCGGCCGUGUCCUCCUGCUGGCCCCGAGGACGCCUGGAACGAGCCACCCUGGGAAGAGCCACCCUGGGAAGGGCCACCUCGGAAUGGGCCACCUCGGAAUGGGCCACCUCGGAAUGGGCCACCCUGGGACGGGCCACCCAGGGAUGGGCCACCUCAGAAUGGGCCACCCUGGGACGGGCCACCCUGGAAUGGGCCAUCCUGGGACGGGCCACCCAGGGAUGGGCCAUCCUGGGACGGGCCACCCUGGAAUGGGCCACCCAGGGAUGGGCCACCCAGGGAUGGGCCACCCUGGGAUGGGCCACCUCGGAAUGGGCCACCCUGGGAGCACCAGCACAGGAGCCACCGGCACAGGAGGAGCCCGCCCUGUCCCAGAGCCCCCAGACCCUUCCCUGGCCCUGGCGACGUCCCGUGGAAGGAGGAGGAGGGGGACAGGAGGUGGGCACCCCACGACUGCCCCCCGCCACCCCCUUGGGAUGGCAGAGAAGCCGUCCCACGACCUGAGGACGGCUUUGGAGAAAUCUGGUACCAGGAUGUGCUGCCGGACCCCUGGCCCGAAUUCCCCGAGGAGGAGCAGCCCCCGCCCGGCCCUCCAGGGAAUCCAGGGACUUUCGGGGACCACCGCCCGCCCUGGAGGCAUCGCCCGGCCGGGAGGCGACCCAGCCACCUCCAGCAGCCGGUCCUGGUCCCCCGGGCGUGGUGUCCCCGGCCGCCCCGAGGGCACAAGGCUCGCUCCAAGCCCUCCUCCCCUGCCCACUUCAAGCGGAGCCAGCCGGCGGCCAGGAAGGAGCUGCAGCCCCCGGAGCCUCCCCAGCCUCCUGCUCCUCUCCCAGACGCUGGGGAAAGGCCGGAGCAGCCGCAGGUGUGGGGUUUUACCUGUCCCCUGCCCGUCCCACAGCAGGAGUGGGCUCCCCCUCAGCCUUGUCCUGGUUUCCUCCAGGAUGUGCCAGCAGCGGCUGGGAAUGUCCUGGAGCCCCCCAGUCCUGCCAGGAGCCCUCAGGAGAGCCCCGGGUCACCGGUAGGAGAUUCCCUGGUCCCAGGGGUGCUCCCAGCUCUGGAGCUGCCUGGCUCAGGGGCGUCCUUGGCUGCUGUGACAUCUCCCUCCUCUCUCAUCCAGCCUUUCCCCUCUCCACCUCGCUGUCUCUUUGCCAGGCAUGGAACUUUUCCAGGCUGUUCUCUCCAUGGUUUCCUGUGGGUUUUAGCACCCUGACCGUCCCAUCCCGGGACAGACACGUGUCCUCACGCCAUUGCCUGUCCCCAGGUGGAGCUGGAAGCUGGGCAGACCCCUGUGGGCAGCCAGGAUCAGGAUCCCUGCGCUGCAGGAGCAGAUCCAGCCCCUCCAGAGGAGAUCUCCGGCUAUGCUGAGAUCCAGGAGCACCUCGAGGUAUGGCACUGCUGGGAAGUGGCACAGGAGCAGCUCCAGGCUCCCCAAAAUCCUCCCCCUGGAGGUGUUUUCCUAAAUCAGAGCCUGCAGGGAAGCACAGUCCCCUUCCCAAACCCUCUGUCCCCUCACCGUGGACUCCACAAAGCCCCUGCAACGUUUGCACAGUGCGAGGAACCAAG
ensembl:lncRNA